GAUGAAGAACGUAGCGAAAUGCGAUAAGUAGUGUGAAUUGCAGAAUUCAGUGAAUCAUCGAAUCUUUGAACGCACAUUGCGCCCCAUGGUAUUCCGUGGGGCAUGCCUGUUCGAGCGUCAUUUACCCCCUCAAGCUCCGCUUGGUGUUGGGCGUCUGUCCCUCUUCGCGCGCGGACUCGCCCCAAAGGUAUUGGCAGCGGUCGUGCCAGCUUCUCGCGCAGCACAUUGCGCUUCUCGAGGCACCGGUGGGCCCGCGUCCAUCAAGCUCACCCCCCCAGUUUGACCUCGGAUCAGGUAGGGAUACCCGCUGAACUUAAGCAUAUCAAUAAGCGGAGGA
rnacentral:misc_RNA from 1 species